AUAAAACCCAAGCAUUUAGGCCACGCUGAUCUUAUGCGUCAUGGUAAAUAUAUCUCACUUUAUGGUGCUAUUACAACUCUGUUGUUACCAUUAACGGUACAAGUAAUUGGUGGUCAAUAUGGUGUGUUGGUGUGCGCGUUUAAACUUAAAUCAACAGACCCUGAUAUGAUAAUACUGUCUUUGACAGAUAUGUCUGUCUUACAUGAAGUGGUUCUGAUAAGCCUGCUCUUUUUUGCGCAUUUAAUAGGUUUUAUUGGUGUGAUUAAGAAAUGGGCUGCAGUCUUACUAUUUUAUUUUUUCGUCCGUUUUGGCGAGUCCAUCCUAUAUUUUUCUUGGUUCAUAAGUGUAACUAAGGAUCAUAUCAAGUCUCAUGUUAUGUCACAAAUUGUAUUGGGAUGGUAUUGCUUCUUCGCUUUCAUUAUCGAACUCGUGUUUACAUCUAUAAUACAUGUAGUGACAUUUAAAGUCAUAAAAUGCAAGAAGGAAUGAGUGUUUGGAAUAAUUACCGGAGAUCAUGCUUAUUUAGCGAGCAUUAUUUACAACAAAAAGAAAAUUUAAGCGCAACAAAAAUAAAAUAAAAAUAUAUGCAUAUUGAAAAUUAUAAAAAGUAUAUAGUAUU